CCCCUAGAUGUUCUGGGCCGCACGCGCGCUACACUGAACAGUUCAACAAGUCUUAACCUUGGCCGAUAGGUCUGGGUAAUCUUUGAACGCUGUUCGUGAUUGGGAUAGACCUUUGCAAUUAUGGAUCUUCAACGAGGAAUUCCUAGUAAACGCAAGUCAUCAGCUUGCAUUGAUUACGUCCCUGCCCUUUGUACACACCGCCCGUCGCACCUACCGAUUGAAUGGUCCGGUGAAUCUUUAGGACUGUGGCUGAGGCCUUGCCUUGUGCGGGUCUGGCCGUGGGAAUUUAGUUAAACCUUACCAUUUAGAGGAAGGUGAAGUCGUAACA
rnacentral:rRNA from 1 species